rnacentral:rRNA from 1 species
UACGUAGGGUGCAAGCGUUAAUCGGAAUUACUGGGCGUAAAGCGUGCGCAGGCGGUUCGUUAAGUCAGAUGUGAAAGCCCCGGGCUCAACCUGGGAACUGCAUUUGAAACUGGCGGGCUUGAGUAUGGCAGAGGGGGGUGGAAGUUCCGCGUGUAGCAGUGAAAUGCGUAGAGAUGCGGAGGAACACCGAUGGCGAAGGCAGCCCCCUGGGCCAAUACUGACGCUCAGGCACGAAAGCGUGGGGAGCAAACAGG